UUAACAGCCUGGAAACUGAAGUCCCUCCUUUGUCCACAGAGCAGGUACAGCACAAGCAGCAGUAGUGCAGAGGUUUGCUCUGGGAAGAGCCACUUCUACAGGGUAGGAAAUUAGUUCAAACUUCAUGACCAUUUAGGUUCCAAAUCCA
rnacentral:sRNA from 1 species